rnacentral:rRNA from 1 species
UACGUAGGUGGCAAGCGUUUGUCCGGAAUUAUUGGGCGUAAAGCGCGCGCAGGCGGUCCUUUAAGUCUGAUGUGAAAGCCCACGGCUCAACCGUGGAGGGUCAUUGGAAACUGGGGGACUUGAGUGCAGAAGAGGAAAGCGGAAUUCCACGUGUAGCGGUGAAAUGCGUAGAGAUGUGGAGGAACACCAGUGGCGAAGGCGGCUUCUGGUCUGUAACUGACGCUGAGGCGCGAAAGCGUGGGGAGCAAACGG